GCCACUGGAAACCGAUAUCUCGGCUCUCGUAUCGAUGAACGUAGCAAAAUGUGAUACAUAGUGUGUUUGUAGAAUCCUGUGAACCAUUGAUCGAGCCUUUGGACAUAAAUUGCGUCCCAAGCCUUAUGGCAGAGGGCAUAUUUGCUUGGUGUCA